CUGCGCAGGCGCUGCAGUGGCCUGGAUUUGCUUUCAAGCCGUAGAAGAAGAAGAGAAGGAAGAGGAUUCAUUUCGUCCGUGUUGUUGUUUUCGGAAAGCUAAUACUGCGCUGUAAUUUGUCAGAGUCCACUGCAACUUUCUCCGAAUUAUAUCGGAAUGAUCGGUGGCCAUUAUGCACUCAGUCUACGUUCCCACCCUCACCUCCGGGUACGAGCUGUGGGUCGCGAUCGAAAGAACAAGAUCCCGGAUACAAGCGCCCGAAAGGAGUUUAGACCUUAGACCUUCUCACCCUUCGAGAUAGGCUGAGAAGCCCGGUCAUCCGAGAGGGGCUCAGUGUCAGCAACCACGCAAACCAAUGUUUGGACUUGAAAACUUAACUGACCUUCAAACCCUGACCCAGCUCGGUUGAAAACUUGAAACCUCAACCUUGGCUAAAAUCCCUCACCCUGGCUUGAAACCAUAAUUUAAAACCCAAAGUCUUAGCGCAAGAAACAUGAACACUGGCUAGAAACUCUUAACUUGAGAAAUCUUUGCUAGUGACCCCGACCCUGGCUCGAAGGUGUAUUUUGAAACCUAUUCUGGAAACCCGAGGGGAUUCUGGGAAUCCCUGCAAAAACUACUGUCCCCGUGACCCGAAAUUAACCACGGGGGUGUGGGGGGGGGGGUGCAAAAAAAAAAAAAAACGAAAAGCCAGGAAAAUUAAUUCAGAAUCAGAAACUUGAUCAUCCACUUUAGUUAUUGAAAAAUAAUCGAUAACACUACCUGUGACACUAGUUAUCAAAGUUGGAUUAUUUGUCAUUAUGAGAUGAAUUUAUAUACGCUGUACUGCAGUUUAUACAGAACACGCUAACUUUACCAUAAAAAGUGUUCUUGUUCCAGAAUGCAGUCACCCCCGUGGGCCGUCCCUUCCCCUGCGCUCGCCCGUCCCGUCGCCGGCGUUUGGGAUAAAACAAGUGUGCUUGUUGAUUUCCAAACGGCUGCAGGCCUUCGUUCGGAGCUAAUCUUCCCCUGAAAAAGAAGCCCCCCCCCCCCCCCCCCCCCCCGCUGCUUCCCGCUGCAUUCACAUGCUACGUGGCUUCAUCUGCAUGACAACGUCGCGCGGAUUAGCCUAAUAGCAUUGGAUCGUUAGCUUUGGCCGUAAUUAACGCUGAACUCAGUUUCCGCUUUUAAUUGCGCUGGAGAGUUACUCCAGUUAUGCCGUGUCUCUUGUUCUUUCUGCUUUUGUUCUACUUCCUGUUUUAUGUUUACUUUCCUCAGGCGUUGUGGAAAUCUGGAUGGUUGGAGUUGGUACUGAGCAACUUUUUUAUGAUCAAAGGACUUUGACUUGGAUCUGUGACUGGUGGUGUGCAAGUUUGUGCUGUCCGAUAAAUAGGACCACUGAGACGUAGACCGGUAGUUUAGCUGAUAUCGCUAUCGCUAGUACUCAAAAGCUAAAUUGUUUCUAUUUACGCUGCUACUGAGCGAUUUUACUUUGGUGAACAAAAGACUUGUGCUUUUUUUGACAAUAAAAAGCACUGUGGAAAAAAAAAAUGGUGCUUUAUUGGCCGAGUCAGCAAUAAUGCUCAAACCAGGCAUAAUGUUACAGUGGAUUGCAAUAAUAGUACUGUAAUUUCAGGCCUAUAAACCGCAACUUUUUUCAUGCGCUUUCAACCCUGCAUCUUAUGCGGUGAUGCGGCUAAUUUUUGCAUUUUUUUCUAUAAGCUGCAAAGGGGCACUCGAGCGGAAAAGGUAAGAGUGAGGGCGGUGGAAUAUAUGUGCCAAGGAAGUUAAUUUUACCGGUAUGUUUUUUUUUUUUUUUUUUUUUUUACCGGCCCUGUUAGCACCGCACUAGCCUUAGCGCCACACUAGCAUGAUGCUGCUGUGUAACUGCUGCGUCUCAGUAAUUUAGAUAUGUUUUGUUAUUAUUUUUUUUUUAACAGGCCUUGUUAGCGCUGUGCUACUGUGUAGCUGCUGUGGCAGGUUUUUUUUUUUUUGUUUGUUUUUUUACCGGUAUGUUUUUUUGGUUUUUAACAGCCCUGUUCGUUGUUUGUUAAGUUAAGCCAAGGUAAUAAAACUUUAAAAACUC